GGCUGAAUAGCUCAGUGGUAAGAGCAGUCACCUGGCAAGCGAGACUCGGGUUUGAUUUUCGAUUCAGCGA
rnacentral:tRNA from 1 species